rnacentral:ncRNA from 1 species
GGAGUAAAGCUUGUCAUGAGGAGUCAGCCGAAGCCAUAGUACCUGAUUACGGCUAUAUCGGGGAAGGGC